GACGAACGCUGGCGGCGUGCUUAACACAUGCAAGUCGAGCGGAGCGACGAACGGGUGAGUAACGCGUGAGUAACUGCCCCCCUCUCUGGGAUAACAGUUGGAAACGGCUGCUAAUACCGGAUAGUGGGGGAUGACUCGCGGCCUAUCAGCUUGUUGGUGGGGUAGUGGCCUACCAACGCGACGACGGGUAGCCGGCCGGGGAGGGGGACCGGCGACAUGGGGCUGAGAUACGGCGCAGACUCCUACGGGGGGCAACGGUGGGGACUAUUGCACAAUGGGGGCAACCCUGAUGCAGCAGCGCCAGGGGCGGAAUGUCGGCCUUCGGGUUGGAAACGGCUUUCAGCCAUGACGCGGUAGUGGCAGAAGAAGCACCGGCUAACUACGUGCCAGCAGCCGCGGUAAUAC
rnacentral:rRNA from 1 species